rnacentral:rRNA from 1 species
AGCAGUAGCCGCGGUAAUACGUAGGUGGCAAGCGUUGUCCGGAAUUAUUGGGCGUAAAGGGCUCGCAGGCGGUUUCUUAAGUCUGAUGUGAAAGCCCCCGGCUCAACCGGGGAGGGUCAUUGGAAACUGGGAAACUUGAGUGCAGAAGAGGAGAGUGGAAUUCCACGUGUAGCGGUGAAAUGCGCAGAGAUGUGGAGGAACACCAGUGGCGAAGGCGACUCUCUGGUCUGUAACUGACGCUGAGGAGCGAAAGCGUGGGGAGCGAACAGGAUUAGAUACCCCAGUAGUCCCUGUCUCUUAUAC